rnacentral:rRNA from 1 species
UACGUAGGGUGCAAGCGUUGUUCGGAUUUAUUGGGCGUAAAGCGCGCGCAGGCGGUCCUUUAAGUCUGAUGUGAAAGCCCACGGCUCAACCGUGGAAGGUCAUUGGAAACUGGGGGACUUGAGUACAGAAGAGGAAAGCGGAAUUCCCGGUGUAGCGGUGAAAUGCGUAGAGAUUUGGAGGAACACCAGUGGCGAAGGCGGCUGUCUGGUCUGUAACUGACGCUGAGGCGCGAAAGCGUGGGGAGCAAACAGG